rnacentral:sRNA from 1 species
CCAAAACCACACAUGCACCGACACAGCUGGCGGGGUGCCCUCGGGGUUGCCAGUUGCGGGUGCAUGGAGGCCUAAC